ACUCCAGGGGUGAUUUUGAUAUCUUCCUGUCCUUUUUCCUCCAGCUAAGCACUCUUCUCUUCAGGCUUCUGGGAGACAUAGGAUGCAGUGGGAACCUAAACCUUCGGAAACCUCCCAAAUGUUUAGCCGCUCCACUGGAAGACUGGAAGACUGCCAAGAUGACACCCAUCUCCUUAAUAGAACUAGAGGUGAUCUCAGAAAUUAUACAUCUGUGAGUUUCAUAUUGAUGCUAAGAAAAAUCUCUUUACAAUUAAAAUAAUCUCCC
rnacentral:lncRNA from 1 species